UACAGAGGUCUCAAGCGUUGUCCGGAAUUAUUGGGCGUAAAGAGCUCGUAGGCGGUUUGUUGCGUCGGCUGUGAAAUCCCGAGGCUCAACCUCGGGUCUGCAGUCGAUACGAGCAAACUAGAGUGUUGCAGGGGAGACUGGAAUUCCUGGUGUAGCGGUGAAAUGCGCAGAUAUCAGGAGGAACACCGGUGGCGAAGGCGGGUCUCUGGGCAACAACUGACGCUGAGGAGCGAAAGCGUGGGGGAGCGAACAGG
rnacentral:rRNA from 1 species